GCCUGGGUGGCUCAGUGGGUUAAGUGUCUGACUUUGGCUCAGGUUGUGAUCUCGUGGUCCAUGGGUUCGAGUCCCAAGUCAGGCU
rnacentral:tRNA from 1 species